UCAAUACUAGCCUUCACCUUCUGUAAUGAACUCAUCAAUACUCGAUGCAAGGGCUUCAUCUUCUUUAAAUGAUCCAAUGGCUUCAUCUUCUUUCAUAAAAUCAUCUUCAUAAUUCGCCAUACACAUUUUCAAUCUAAUCAUGUUCUUCCCAUUAAUCUGCCAUUGCUAUGGUGCCUCAACCGCGUCCAAAUGUUUGAUAGAUGAAAACCUAUCAUCUUCCAUCUCUUCUCCAAUAUAAUCUACUUCAUCAUCUGCUAUCAGCUUCAACCUUCUUCAAUGAGCGCAAUUUAACCUCCUCCUGUCUCACCUUUCAUAGACACUUCCUCAUUUUCAAUGUACUCAUCAUCUCCCUCACCUUUCUUCUCGCUUUCAUCCAUAAAUUCCAUAUAGCUAUCUGCAGAUUUGAUAAGUUUUUGAUAUAUUGGCCAAGUCAGGUAGGACUUGGCCGAGUUACUCUGCCUCAUUCGGUGGCCGAGGCAGAGUCAUCGUGAGUUGGGGGUUCAGCUCAGGGAUAUUAAGAAAAUUAAAAAAAUCUCAAAAAAUAAGAGAUUUAUUUUUAUUUUUUAUUUUUAUAUUAUCUAUCAUUUUGGCAAAGGUUUGACAAUAUUUUAGCCAUAAUAUUUAUUUUUACAUUUUUCAUUCUUUUUAAGAAAAUUUUGAAAGUAUUCCCAAGUCAUAAAUCCGUUUUUUAAAAUAUAUUUUUUAGCUAUUUUUUUUAUUUUUUAUUUAUUUUUUUUAUCAUAUUUAAAUGUGUUUUGUUUAAUUUAAUAUACAUAUAUUUUCCUUUAUUUGGAUUUUCUUUAUGUUUUAUUUUUAUAUUUUAAUAUAUUUUUCUACUACAGUACUCGACAUGAAUAGUGAUUAAGAGCAGUAGUUCACACUUCUUAUUGUCUCACAAUUGUAGAAAUACGAACAGAUUUUAAAAGAACUAAAAUAACUGAAAUGCCUUUGAAGUUUUAGAUUUCGCAAGGUAGUUUGAUUUUCUUUUAUUUUUUAUGUGCUGGGUACUUUAAUUAUUUUAUUUAUUAUAGUAGAAAUAUAUUUGUUAGAAGUCCAUUGAACUUAGUUGGAUACAUGAGUAAAGAAUAAAAUUAAAAUACAUUAUGCAUUAUCAAAAAAUAUUAAAUAAAUUUGAUUAAUCUCCUUCAAAUUACAUUUCCUACUUGUAAAACUCUUGCCAAUUCGAAUAGUUAUCCCACCUGAGAAUCUAGGGGAAUAUUCAUAGUAAAUUAUGGUAGAUAUAAAAUAACAGUUUCCAUAUUCUUCAAAUCUUUAAUUCCUUAAUGAAUUAAUAAUCUUCUUCCAUCUCUUCUUUAAUAUAGUAGAAAGCCAUGCCUCAGCCUCCCAACCAAUAGAGUAGAAAAAACGAAUGACAAUUCAUACAAAAAUUAGAUUAACUUAGCAAAAACCAAAUAAUCUAAUGGAGCAAAGAACCACAAAUAUGCUACCAAAAAAACUAUAUGAAUAUGCUGCACAUGGGUUGAGACAUCAUGAGAGAAAAAUAAGAAGCCAUAAAAUGAAAUUUACCAAAUAACUGAGAUUCAGGUUUGAUCCAUCACCCGAUGAAAAGCAAGCGCAAAAUAAACCAAGAAGAUUUCGAUUAUGAGAAAAGCCAAUAAAAUUGAGUAGAAUAUGCAAUGAAAUUGUGAUUUACAUCAUAUGAACGUUACCUUACAUCUAAUAUAGGAAAAAUCGGGCGGUUCAAAUUCUAAUAACCUGGUUAGAUGCAGUUAGAUCAGAACUAGCCACUAAUGGUUCCAGUUUCAGCCGGUUUUGGUGAAUCAGCAGGGCAAUUUUAAAAAAAUAAAAUAAAAAUAUAAAAUCUAAAAAAUAAGAGAUUUUGUUUGUAAUGCAUGUUUUAAUAUUUUUCAUAGCAAAGAUUGGGAAUUGUUUUGGCCAUUAAUACUUAUUUUUACAUUUUUUCAUGUUUUUUAGAAAAUUUCAAAAAAACCCUGAGCACAAAUUGAUUAUUUAAAAUCUAUUUUUUCAUUAAUUUUCAACUUAAUUUGGAUUUUCUUUGUUUAAUAAUAUCUUAAAUAUACUUUCCAUAUUUUAUUAGAACUUUUUUGUAUUUUUUAACACUUUUUUGAAGGUGCAUGACUUACCCGGUUCGACCGAUUGAACCUGGCGGUUUACCGUUUAAGCCGGUUGAACCGCUUCUGGUUCUAUGUCCGGUUAACCAUUGUGGUUCGAUUUUUCCCACACUGCUGUGAUCCGAUGACUUGUCAUAAGGAAUGAUCAGUUGACAAAAAAAUGUAUACAAAAUUAAGCAAUAUAGAGUAUGUACAUAAAGUCUUAAGAACUUCUAAUUCC
rnacentral:lncRNA from 1 species